CCACAUGUCGCCCGAGGGACCAUAGAGAGGGCGCGUCGCUGGGCGACCGCGGAGCAGAGCGGCUCCUCGCGGCCAUAGAGAGGGUGGAGACCGGGGACGUUCGGGGGUGUUCUCGCGGGGCUGCGGCGACAGCUCCUGCGUGGGGCUGUGGAAAGAGAGGAGUCAGCACGGGCUGAACGGGCUGAGGGCAGCGGGAAGGGGAUGCGGGCGGUCUGAGGCCGUGAGGACGGGGAUAGAGCGGCGCGUACCAUAGAGAGGAGCCGGAGCGCCCUGCCCGCCCCUCGGCACAGCGCGGGAACGGCGCGGCGGACCCGGGCCGCAGCCCCGGCGGCAGCCGGCAGCGGGAACGAGCGGGACGACAGGGGGGUGGUCUGAUGUGGGCCUGGGGGGUCCCUAUAGCUCAGGGGGAUAAAUCCCGUGGGGCAGGCGGCUGUGCUGCACCUCGGGGGGCUCUGUGGGUAGAGAGGCCUCCUGCUUGCCUGACAGGGUCCCUGUGGGGGGAGGCAUGAAGCGCGCCACAGAUUGCACGAAUAUAGCAUCUAAUCAUCUCAUAAAGAGCCUUAUCUGGGCUUAUCAGGGCCUGAGGCAGCAUCUGGGCAGGCUGCAGUUCAGUUGCACAAGGAGAAAUGCAGGAAAGACACAGAUCUGUUGGAGGGCCAAAGAAACGGUCCCAGGACUGCAGCAUCUCCCAGCAAGGCGUUGAGGGCUGAGAGCUGGGGCUGUGCAGCUGGAGAUGGCUCAGAGGAGACCUAUAGCAGCCUGUCAGUAUCUCAAGGGGCUGUAGGAAAGAAAGGGACAGACUCUUCAGCAGGGUCUGUUGUGAUGAGAUGAGAGGAAAUGGCUUCAAACUAAAAGAGGGGAGAUUUAGAGUGGAUACAAAGAAGAUGUUUUUAUGAGAAGUGAGGCACUGGCAGAGAGUGCUCAGAAGUGCAGUGGAUGCCUCAUCCCUGCAGAUCUCCAAGGUCAGGCUGGAUGGGGCUCUGAGCGCCCGGUGGAGCUCUAGGUGUCCCUGUUCAUUGCAGGGAGUGGGACUAGACGACCUUUAAAGGUCCCUUCCAACUCAAACAUUUCUAUGAUUCUGUGAAUAAGGUCAUGUCAGGUGUGAUCAGAAACUUGAGUAAUCCUGCAAUCAGUGGUUUGAUUAGUUAUGAACAUUCAUAAGUUGGGAAACUGAAUACAUGAAAUGUUGGAGAAUGGAAAUGUAUGAAAUAAUGCAUGAAGUGAGCCCACAGCCUGGCUUAGUGAUGGAGGUGCUCACUGAGGGUCCUGGGCUCUGCAUACUGCUGUGUUUGGUUCAGCUGUGCUGCAGCAGGAGAUGGCAGAGUUCCCAAUCAGCAGCACCAGUGUGCACAGAAAUUGAUGUGCUUCCUAUUCUCCUUACCCUGGUGAAUUCCUUCAGAAGCAUGAAUGUUGUUGCUCCUCUGCUCAUUGCAGCUGAAUGGAGCACUUUCAUAUCUGUUUCUUAGUUCUGUAGGCACAUAAGUGCUUGGUCAUUCUGGCAAUUUGUCUCUUUUUCAAGAAUAUGGUUUUCCCUUUGCUGGUAAUUCCUGUUAUGAACUCGUAGUUCUUGUUGAGCAUUAUUCCUGCUCUCUGCGUGGAUGGCUGCAAGGUUCAGCUCUGAAUGUGGCUUUUAAAGGGUAUGGAAUCACUCUGCUGUCAUUCUGAAAGCUUUAUCCAACCGCUAGAUUUCUUUUAGUUCUUCAUGCUUCUUUUUCUUUUUUUGUUGUAUCAUAUGGGGCACGUUGUUUACCAUUUUCUCCACAGAUCUGUCCUGAUACUGUAAUUAUAAAGUUGUUUAGCUAUCUGUUUUAGUAAAUGUAUCUGUAUAAAACAUUGGAUGUUAUGAUUGUCUUGCUAUAAUGUUACUAGAUGUAUUUCCCAAGCUACUAAGUUUGUUUGGAGAUGAAAAUUAGAUGCAAAAUAGAAAUAUAAGCACCUCCAUUCUGUAAUCUUGCCAUAAUUUUCUCUCUCAUCAAUGUAGUAUCAGUAAUUAAUGCUCCUAGAAACGUACACUUUCUUUGUUGCUAUGGGUUUAUCCGAGAUCUCAGCUAAUCACAGAAUUAUUGUUGCUGUUAUCCCAGUUUUCUUUCAAGUCCCCAGCUGCCUGGUGUGUGAUACUCUGUCUUUUCUGCAACUGGCAAGUCAAUAGCGAAGCUAAUCUGUUUUGAUUCAUAUCAUGAGGAUGCCACAGGAGUUGGAACAACUUCAGUUGUGCAAUUGCUGCGCAUUUAUGGCUUCUACUCUGGAAAAAGAAAAUAGCUGAAUGAGAGGAGAUGAGAGAGGCUCUGAGCAAUGAGGCAGGGGACUGUCCAGAGUGAGAAUCAAGUGGAGGUAGCCAAGACUCAUUUGCCACUGGAACUUCAUUCCCUGCAUGCUGGAACUGUUUCCUCCUGUCUCACAGUGGUCUUUGACAUCUCCUCUGGGCCAUAUUGAAAGACCUGAGCUGAUUGGAACUGCUGAAUCUGUGGGGAGGAUUUCAACAGAGCUCUGAGUUACUGGGACAUGGGAGGUGUGCAAGGAGUGGGGAGGAAAAUUCUAGCCCUCCCCCUUCCCUUUGGCAGGCGCUCACUGCGAGCCUGGAAAUGAUCUUGGUGAUGGAGCUGAGACACAUGAAUUUACUGAGGGCAGGAGUGAAAGGCAAUUUGGUGCAGAUUUUGUAACAGAGAGGAAGCUUGGAAGAUGGUUAAUGUGACAACAAUUGCUGAGAAGGUCCCCAGGAGUGAAAUGGAGAACUGCAGACCGUCACAUUGGAGUCUGUACUGAGCAAAUCAGAAGCUCUGGCCUCAAACUGCUCUGGGUGAAGACAGUAGCUGAAGCAAUUACUGAAGCAUUAGUGACUGUCCUGGAAGUUCUUGGAAGGGCAGCAGGAUGGAACUGGCAAUGCUGUGGCUGAGGGAGGCGGAGGUCAGCAGCCAAGGGCUGGAGCAGGAGCCACAUCCUCGAGUUGCAGCAGCGCAGUUUGAUGCUGUGGUUGUGCCAGGGCUGCUGGGAGAAGAGCUGGACUGGCUGAAAACUGCAGUCCUCUCAAGCUGGUGGAAGAGCUACGGAUGCUUGCUGCUAACUGCUUUUUCACCUCUUGUCCACCCUUCCACCAGCCGCUUGGGGCCACCAUUUUAGACUUCAGCUGGAGCUGCAAAGCGUUAGUGAUCUUGUUUUCCAGAGAUCGUAUUUGAAGUAGAAAGAACUGGAUUUUGCCUUCAUUUACGCCUCAAGGAGCUGCCACAGGGGGAGGGGCCAGUGUUUGCCAGCUUGCUCUGCUCCCUGCAGCCCUCACUGGGGAGCCGCGCCACAGGAAAUGCUGAGCAGGAAUCAGGCAUGAGAGCAUCGUGCUGGGUUGGUUUUGCUCUUGGAAACAGAAGGUGGAGCAAGCCACAACUGAGACAAGUGUUAAGGUCUGCAAUGAAAGCAGGAUCCAUGCCAAGCAGGAUGGAGCACUCCAAGGGGUCACAGCAGAGGGCUGCAUCUAUGAGAGCAUCUUGGAGCCACUAAGAUGGUGCUGACAUCUGAGAAGAUUUUUCUGGUGAUUUUUCACCAUGCUGUUCACUGCUGACACCGCCUUCCUCACUGCAGGUGCAUCUACUGCUUGUGUGAGAUUUUACGCUGUCUCAUUUGGAUUGUAUCUCAAGGAGGAUUUAGAGGAGCUUGCAAGCUGGAGAUCUGCUGACUUCCCAAAGCUCGCAGGCAGCACUCUUCUCCUGCAUGUGACAUGUGCAUCGCCCUCAAAUUCAGAGGAUGGCUCACAGCUGCUGUGACUGCAGCCAGGAUGUAUCUGGGGCUGAGAGUUGCCCAUGGGAGCCAGGAGCUGUGCUACAGCUCACCAAGUCCCUUGAUCACGGCUUGCAGGGGCCCUCAUCCAUCCAUCUGUCUGGAACGGAGUGGCAAAGCCUCCAUGGUCACAUUCACACUUUGCAGGUUGCUGGGAUUUGCUCUGCUGCCAAGGGGAGCAGUUUGCUGUUGUGCACCAUCUCUAGUCUCUUCAGGGAACUGCCAAUUCUGCAUUUCCUUACAGCAUAUUUCCAUCCAAGAGAGCUUCUCCACAGCUUCCCUGAUCUGUCAGACGCUCAUUAUUUUGUUAUUUCCAUUCUCCCGUGUGAUUGUGCUGGUGGGAAGAGACACUCAGCCAGGCUGAACCCAAGAGUGACAAUGAUGUCUGAAGCACAACUUUGAUAUGGUGCAAAACUCUAAACUGAGGACAGUCAUCCCUAGAAACACCUCCCAGCCUUGAUGCCUCCAGAGUCAAUCUUCUCCAGCUGUAGGAUGAAGUGAGUCAUGCCAUUGACUUUGCUCGCCUUGAGUAGACACGGAGAUAAGAGCUACUGCUCCAUGACCACUGUAACCAUACAGAUCCCACCCACAGUGCCUGACACGUUCAUGGGUACAGGGGGAACGUGCAACCCUGUGCCUUGUGCUGCUAUUACUGCACUGAUGAGACUCUCAGCUAGUUCUCCAAACCUCUUGUUGGUCUUCCAGCGCCUACAAAGAAGCCCUUCAGAGUCAGUCGUCGUAGCUUCAUCCUAAGGGCGAUUUUCUUGUAGAACCUGUGUCCAUUUUAGAGCAGUGGUUGUGGUUAAUGACAUGCAUAAUUUACAUUAUUAUGCCUUUCAUUUUUGUAUUAUGAUAAAUCACCUGCCUUCCCACUUCUUUUUAUUGUGACGCACUGGGAACACAAUAUAGCAGUAGGAAAACAAUACAGAGCUGCCCUGUCAGUCUCAAGCACAGAAACAGCACACCCAUGCUACAAACACUCACAGAUGCACAGCACCGUAUCAGAUUAUUAGCUCCAAGGCAACUGUCAGCAUGCAGUUUUAUUGGAAAUGAAAACAAGGUAAUUCAAGAUUUAUUUUCUCUCUAAGGAAGUGCCAGGAGGCAGAAGCCAGCCCCCGGCAUCUCCCGUAAAACACCCGGCGCAUGGCAACGUGCUGCUCCUCAAGCAGAGCUCCUGGACUGGGGAUUUUUUGAGUUAUCUCUUCCAAAGGAGGAGAAUUCUCCUCCUUGUCCCCAGACUGUAUCCUGAAGGGAGCGAUGCAGAUUGAGUGACUCGAGUUUUGCUCUACCUAAAGGGAGAUAAAUGCACCCUACACUACUGUGGCUGCAGGCACAGCUCCUGGGAGACCUCGGGUGGCUCUUAAUCAUAUAUCCUUGAAGCUUCAGAAACAUACCCUGAUUAUUUUCCAGCUCAAAGCAUUCGUUGCCUUCAGGAUAUUACCAUCUUUGCCCCCUUUCUAAUGGCUUAGGGUGAACUGAUCACCAAAUUAAACUCCUUAUUAGCAGCUAUCUCGGUACGUCUUGCCCUGAUUUUAUUGCUGUGCCCAAAUGCGAUAUGUGCCUGGGCACCAAGACAGGCACACACUGUGCCCAAGCUGAAAAUAUUUAGGAACUGGUAGGAACAUCACAGGAAAUAUUUCUGAGUGAUUAAUUUAGAGUUGUUGAAGACUGUUCUCAAAGAUGCUCUAAAUGCGUUCAUACCAGCUGCACUGGUUAAAAAGGCAAUGAAAAAAUACACCUCAGUUAGAUGAAAGGUGAAAGAAGCAAUAAAAAAGCAUAAAACAACCUACAUAAUAAAUGGGAUAAGAGCAAACCAACGGCAACAAUUAUUGGUCAGAAGGCAAGAGAUGCAAACAGUGCUUGACAAUAAGCUGUGUCAUGAAAAGAGCCUUAAUGGAGAUAGAGAGGCAGCCUCCACGUUCAGGUGUUUGAGUUCGCAGCGAUGCUGGCAGUUCUGCAAAGAGGGAGCCCAGCAGGGCUGCUCUGGUGUGUCGGUAAUUUCAAAUGGAGGCUUGCUGUCAUGUUUUGGACUGUGCUGAACUGUUAAUGAAACAUGCCUGCCUCCCCCUAGGUGUGUGUAUUUCUUUAAAAUCUGAAAAACAAAGCUUGGAAACCUAACUCUUCGGACUGAAAUGAGAAAAAAGAAAAAAAAGCUGGUUUUCUUAGUGCGUAAUCAAUCUUUUUUAAAGGUCUUCCCAGCUCUAUCAUCACUCAAAGAUGCAGGAAGAAGAUCCUGCAGGGCACUGUGGAAAGAUCUGCAUCCAGCAGUACUGUUCGGACAGUCGUACUCGACCAUCAUUUCCCAAAUGUGUGCAUGCUGUGAGGUGUUCAGCUGCUGCUCGGGAUGUCGCCACCAAGGGGAGCAUCCCUCCUUGGGACACUGAUCUCUGCACUCCUGAUGCUGAAUUAUUCUGGGAAGGAGCAUCAGGAAAACAAAUUAGUGAGGUGUUCUUACCAGAAAAUCCAGUGGCAACAGAUACCUGCAAGCAACAGGGCCCAGAGACUUGUCCUUCCCUAUUCUGACGAGUGAGCCUGAGGUUUGCCAGCACCUCUUGGCGAGCAGGAAGCCUCCAGCUGUGUUAGCUCUUUUGACAUGGCAAUUGCUCCAAAGGAGCUUCUCCAUCCUCCCUAGCUUUGCCUUAGUUGAAGGCUGAGAAGCCCCUGGCCGCCAGCCAUUCCAAUACAUCUUGCAGGUAAUCCAUAGUUUCCUGGGUCAGAGAAGACUCUCAGCAGCAAUCCUCUACUCUUAAAGUCAAUCCCCUUUGCUAGUUGGAAAAUGUCUGCAGCACAAUCUAGUGUUCUGCCUUGGGUGAAGUCAGCCAACUUUACACUCUCAAAGUCUUCAUCCGAAGCAGAAGUAAUGCAGCAAAACGGACUCAACCAAGAAGUUGUUGACAGUACCAAGACUUGGAGGAAUUAAAGUAAAUGACCAAAGUGAUUUUUUUGGCAGAGUACUCAAUCUCAAAGGACUGUGUGCUGUCCAUUCUUCCCAGGGCAUAUUCUGGGAUAGAUCUUCAAGGGUAAUCUACAGUCAUCUUGAGCCAUCCCCUACUGCCCACAGCAAAACUGUCUGACCAAAACUUCAGGUAGAACGUACCAGCUCAACGUGCUCAAGAUAUAUCACCCAAAGGACUGACACCACCGGUAGGACCAAAAGAAUGAUGUGUUCAGCAUGCUCAGGUUGGACUUCAUGCCCACAGGCAGCUGGUUUAUCCUCAUGGGACAAGUCCUGCAUUGCCCAGGAAACACACUGUGCCAAUCCAUCGUGGAUGAGAGAACACAUCCAUGCAUGGAUCCUGAGGACUAACCCUGUUCCCUUCUCCAGGCGCCUGGGAACUUUGGCCACACACACAUACAGACCAGCCAGGUACUGCAGGAAGCAGCAGGAUGAUAGAUUGCAGCUGCAAGCUAAGACGUACACGCACAAAACCCAUUUUUUUCUCUGCAAGGUUCAACCAUUUUUGCUCCAUCUGAGGCUUGAAUCCAGGUUCUCCUGCCUGGCAGCCAGGGAUGCUGGAAGCAGCUCAAUAUUAAGCCUCAGGAAUGGGGGCUCAGGUUCUGUUCCCCAGCCUGGGGCAGUGCUGGUAAAGACCUCCCCUCACCCAGGUGCCUGGGAAGCUUUUGGCUGCUGCUGGCAUUGGCGCAGAAAGCAAGAAGACAUUUACUUCCAGGAACAGAUGCAAACACAGGGAAUUGCCAAUUGGCCAAAAUCAAAUACAACCUGACCUCUGAUGAUCUGGAGCCUUACUACUUUCAAACAACACUGCACUCAAUGUUGGCAAUAUAAUAGUUUACCUUGGAGACGCAAAGGCUAAAGGAGAAAUGAAACCUGAAGCUGCUGGGGACGUUGCUUUCCCACUGUUUCUAUUACUGAUAACAGGCCAGCAAAACCCCAUGAGGUCCUUGAGCUCGAAGAGAGCCUGCUUGCACCUUCUUCCCAGGGUUUUGUGCCAAAGUACCCCAAAACUUAAGAGCUGGGUUUUAUCAGAACACCCGAACUUCUGUAAAUAUAGAAAGUGGGGAAUGAGCUGGAAUAGCGAUGUUCUACCCCGGGAGGAAGGUCCUUCCUUUUGGGUUUCCUUUCAGUCCUGCAACCUCCCAGCUAUCCCCUGGAUCAUCAUAAAGCCUUGCUGCCCCCAGAAAAGCCCCUUUCUUUCCUUUGAAGGGGAGCUGACACCCACAGGGAACAAACCCUAAGUCAGAAAUAAUGGGAGUCCUUUGAAAAAAAAAACCCAAUAACGUCUGAGUCUGAAUAUAACCACAAGGAAAAAAAUGGAAACUUAUCUGCAAUGUGCACCCCCUCCCAACCAAAUUAAUACCCUGGACCAGAGCCUUGUCCAGAAGCAGUGUAAAUAUCUCAGCAACUCAUUACCUUGUUAAUUGGAUCACUCCAAGCUUUUUGGAACCAGUCUAAAGCACAGGCAAAUCCAUUAAAAAAUGGAUUUCUUAUUUCUCUA